CCUACGGGGGGCUGCAGUGGGGAAUAUUGGACAAUGGGGGCAACCCUGAUCCAGCCAUGCCGCGUGUGUGAAGAAGGCCCUCGGGUUGUAAAGCACUUUCAGUGGGGAAGAACGCCUGGUGGUUAAUACCCAUCAGGAAAGACAUCACUCACAGAAGAAGCACCGGCUAACUCCGUGCCAGCAGCCGCGGUAAUACGGAGGGUGCGAGCGUUAAUCGGAAUUACUGGGCGUAAAGCGCGCGUAGGUGGCUUGAUAAGCCGGUUGUGAAAGCCCCGGGCUCAACCUGGGAACGGCAUCCGGAACUGUCAAGCUAGAGUGAAGGAGAGGAAGGUAGAAUUCCCGGGGUAGCGGUGAAAUGCGUAGAGAUCGGGAGGAAUACCAGUGGCGAAGGCGGCCUUCUGGACUGACACUGACACUGAGGUGCGAAAGCGUGGGUAGCAAACAGGAUUAGAUACCCUAGUAGUC
rnacentral:rRNA from 1 species